UAGGGAAUCUUCGGCAAUGGGGGCAACCCUGACCGAGCAACGCCGCGUGAGUGAAGAAGGUUUUCGGAUCGUAAAGCUCUGUUGUAAGAGAAGAACGAGUGUGAGAGUGGAAAGUUCACACUGUGACGGUAACUUACCAGAAAGGGACGGCUAACUACGUGCCAGCAGCCGCGGUAAUACGUAGGUCCCGAGCGUUAUCCGGAUUUAUUGGGCGUAAAGCGAGCGCAGGCGGUUAGAUAAGUCUGAAGUUAAAGGCUGUGGCUUAACCAUAGUACGCUUUGGAAACUGUUUAACUUGAGUGCAGAAGGGGAGAGUGGAAUUCCAUGUGUAGCGGUGAAAUGCGUAGAUAUAUGGAGGAACACCGGUGGCGAAAGCGGCUCUCUGGUCUGUAACUGACGCUGAGGCUCGAAAGCGUGGGGAGCAAACAGGAUUAGAUACCCUGGUAGUCCACGCCGUAAACGAUGAGUGCUAGGCGUUGGGUCCUUUCCGGGACUCAGUGCCGCAGCUAACGCAUUAAGCACUCCGCCUGGGGAGUACGACCGCAAGGUUG
rnacentral:rRNA from 1 species